CAGUCGCCGCGGGAAUACGUAGGGUGCGAGCGUUAUCGGAAUUACUGGGCGUAAAGCGUGCGCAGGCGGUUAUAUAAGACAGAUGUGAAAUCCCCGGGCUCAACCUGGGACCUGCAUUUGUGACUGUAUAGCUAGAGUACGGUAGAGGGGGAUGGAAUUCCGCGUGUAGCAGUGAAAUGCGUAGAUAUGCGGAGGAACACCGAUGGCGAAGGCAAUCCCCUGGACCUGUACUGACGCUCAUGCACGAAAGCGUGGGGAGCAAACAGGAUUAGAUACCCCAGUAGUCCCUGUCUCUUAUACC
rnacentral:rRNA from 1 species